UCCCUAGUGGCUCAGAUGGUAAAGCAUCUGCCUGAAAUGCAGGAGACCCUGAUUCAAUCCCUGGGUCAGGAA
rnacentral:tRNA from 1 species